UACGAAGGGGGCUAGCGUUGCUCGGAAUCACUGGGCGUAAAGCGCACGUAGGCGGAUUGUUAAGUCGGGGGUGAAAUCCUGGAGCUCAACUCCAGAACUGCCUUCGAUACUGGCAAUCUCGAGUCCGGAAGAGGUAAGUGGAACUCCUAGUGUAGAGGUGGAAUUCGUAGAUAUUAGGAAGAACACCAGUGGCGAAGGCGGCUUACUGGUCCGGUACUGACGCUGAGGUGCGAAAGCGUGGGGAGCAAACAGG
rnacentral:rRNA from 1 species